CCUACGGGAGGCAGCAGUGAGGAAUAUUGGUCAAUGGACGAGAGUCUGAACCAGCGAAGUAGCGUGAAGGAUGAAUGACCUAUGGAUUGUAAACUUCUUUUAUAUGGGAAUAAAAUGUUCCACGUGUGGGAGUUUGUAUGUACCAUAUGAAUAAGGAUCGGCUAACUCCGUGCCAGCAGCCGCGGUAAUACGGAUGAUCCGAGCGUUAUCCGGAUUUAUUGGGUUUAAAGGGAGCGUAGGUGGAUUGUUAAGUCAGUUGGGAAAGUUUGCGGCUCAACCGUAAAAUUGUAGUUGAAACUGGCAGUCUGGAGUACAGGAGAGGUGGGCGGAAUUCGUGGUGUAGCGGUGAAAGGCUUAGAUAUCACGAAGAACUCCGAUUGAGAAGGCAGGUCACUGGACUGCAACUGACACUGAGGCUCGAAAGUGUGGGUAUCAAACAGGAUUAGAUACCCCUGUAGUC
rnacentral:rRNA from 1 species